rnacentral:rRNA from 1 species
GUCUAUGGCCAUGCCAUCCUGAACAAGCCCGAUGUCUGAUCUCGGAAGCUAAGCAGGGUUGGGCCUGGUUCAGUACUUGGAUGGGAGACCACUUAGGAAGACCAGGUGCUGUAGGCA